rnacentral:rRNA from 1 species
GAUGAACGCUGGCGGCGUGCCUAAUACAUGCCAGUCGAGCGAACAGAUGAGGAGCUUGCUCCUCUGACGUUAGCGGCGGACGGGUGGGUAACACGUGGAUAACCUACCUAUAAGACUGGGAUAACUUCGGGAAACCGGAGCUAAUACCGGAUAAUAUAUUGAACCGCAUGGUUCAAUAGUGAAAGACGGUUUUGCUGUCACUUAUAGAUGGAUCCGCGCCGCAUUAGCUAGUUGGUAAGGUAACGGCUUACCAAGGCAACGAUGCGUAGCCGACCUGAGAGGGUGAUCGGCCACACUGGAACUGAGACACGGUCCAGACUCCUACGGGAGGCAGCAGUAGGGAAUCUUCCGCAAUGGGCGAAAGCCUGACGGAGCAACGCCGCGUGAGUGAUGAAGGUCUUCGGAUCGUAAAACUCUGUUAUUAGGGAAGAACAAAUGUGUAAGUAACUAUGCACGUCUUGACGGUACCUAAUCAGAAAGCCACGGCUAACUACGUG